AAUUUAAAGUYUAAUUUGCUCCMWGAUUAUAUUAAAUAGCUGCAGUAUCUUAACUGUACAAAGGUAGCAUAAUCAAUAGUUUUUUAAUUAAAAGCUGGAAUGAAGGAUUUAAUAAGGUAAAUAUUGUCUCAAUUUUAAUAAUAUUAUAAUUUUUUUUUUAGUAAAAAUACUAAAUUGAUUUUAAAAGACGAGAAGACCCUAUAGAUUUUUAUAUUUUUUUUUUUAUUAAUUUAAAUAAAAAUUUUAUUUAAAGGGGAAAAUAUUUGAUUGGGGUAAUUAUUAAAUUAAUUGAAUUUUAAUUAUUUUUUACAAAAAUGAUUGUAUAUAUGAUCUUGAAUUUAAAUUAUAAGAAUAAAUUACCUUAGGGAUAACAGCGUAAUUUUUUUUGAGAGAUCUUAUUGAUAAAAAAGUUUGCGACCUCGAUGUUGAAUUAAGAUAAAAUUUUAAUGGAGAAKUUAAAAAUUUUUGG
rnacentral:rRNA from 1 species